rnacentral:rRNA from 1 species
GCCAGACUCCUACGGGAGGCAGCAGUGGGGGAUAUUGGACAAUGGGGGGAACCCUGAUCCAGCGACGCCGCGUGAGUGAAGAAGUAUCUCGGUAUGUAAAGCUCUAUCAGCAGGGAAGAAAGAAAUGACGGUACCUGAGUAAGAAGCCCCGGCUAACUCCGUGCCAGCAGCCGCGGUAAUACGGGGGGUGCAAGCGUUGUCCGGAAUCAUUGGGCGUAAAGCGUUCGUAGGCGGUAAAGUAAGUCAGAUGUUAAAGCCCGGGGCUCAACUCCGGUUCGGCAUUUGAUACUACUUGACUAGAAUGCGGUAGAGGUAAAGGGAAUUCCUGGUGUAGCGGUGAAAUGCGUAGAUAUCAGGAGGAACAUCGGUGGCGAAAGCGCUUUACUGGGCCGUUAUUGACGCUGAGGAACGAAAGCCAGGGUAGCAAACGGGAUUAGAUACCCCAGUAC